rnacentral:misc_RNA from 1 species
GAAAUGCGAUAAGUAAUGUGAAUUGCAGAAUUCAGUGAAUCAUCGAAUCUUUGAACGCACAUUGCGCUCCUUGGUAUUCCUUGGAGCAUGCCUGUUUGAGUAUCAUGAAAUCUUCAAAGUAAAUCUUUUGUUAACUCAAUUGGUUUCUACUUUGGUAUUGGAGGUCUUUGCAGCUUCACACCUGCUCCUCUUUGUUCAUUAGCUGGAUCUCAGUGUUAUGCUUGGUUCCACUCGGCGUGAUAAGUUAUCUAUCGCUGAGGACACUGUAAAAGGUGGCCAAGGUAAAUGCAGAUGAACCGCUUCUGAUAGUCCAUUGACUUGGACAAUACUUUUAUGAUCUGAUCUCAAGUCAGGUAGGACUACCCGCUGAACUUAAGC